GUUGAGAGUCCGCCUGCCGAUGCAGGGGACGCGGGUUCGUGCCCUGGUCCGCGAAGAUCGCACAUGCCGUGGAGCGCCUGGGCCCGUGAGCCAUGGCCGCUGAGCCUGCGCGUCCGGAGCCUGUGCUCCGCAACGGGAGAGGCCACAGCAGUGAGAGGCCCGCGUACCGCAAAAAAAAGAAGGCAGUCUGUCUUGCGGGAUCCCUGCCAGGACUAAAGGAGAUGAUGGUGUCCUGUACCUGGUGGGCUCCCUACGCGGGGGCAGGGCUUGUUAUUUUGGAAGCGAGCCCAAAGCCAAGGAGCCCUUUCACAAACUCUUCUUCCCCUUCUCUACCCAGAAGGCAAGGUGGUAACGACUUCCUGUUCAUUUCCACAGCCCAGAGUUGCCCAAACUCGCCUGAUUCUAGGAUUCACCCGAGUACCUGUUACUUGUUAAAUACCGAUUCUCGGCCGCCGCCCCAGAACUUCUGAACCAGAAUGGCGCUUGUCGGGUUGGGGUCUGGGAAGCCUUCUAGAAGCCCAGGCAGGGCUGGCUCCCCUGCUCAGAUGGUGGAAGGCGGCGUGUGCGGGGAGAGAGGAACGGGCGUGGCCAAGGCCAGCUGGCCGUGCCAGGUACAGGGGCCCACUGUCUCCCUGCUUCCUUAUUCCCAAGGUUGGCCUGGUCCAUUAAAGGAAAACUAGUUUAGGUCCUCUGUAUACCACCCCCCUUUCCAGUUUCCCCUUAAGUGGCUCUUAAUGAUGCUUUCAGGCUGAUUUUCUCCCAGUACUGGUGGAGAGGCUUGGGGAGGGUGGGUGGGAGGCACUGGAAUUGCUCCGUUAGGGCGUUCCAGGCUGAGGUGGGCUGCCCUGACCGCACAGCAGCGUCCCUUUUCUACCUGGGGGCUUCGGGAGCUGCUUCUGCCUGGGCGCACCCCCGGAGGGUGAUCCGACUGGGCUGGGGUGAGGCGGGCUGGUGCGCAGUGUGAGAGGAAGAGCCCCGCCCCGGGCCGGUGCACGUGAUGUGACUUGCUGCUGGGCCCGUGGGAGGGGCCCGAGGGAGGAGAGCCAGGCUGACUGAGCCCGGGGUUAGGAGCCUGGGCUCUGCGCCCGGCUCUCUGGCUCCUCUUGCUACUGUUUGAGGUGACCUUGUGAGCAUCUCUCUGUCUCAGUUUUCUCCUCUGUAGAAUGGGAUUAAUGAUAGCACCUACCUCAUAAGGUGGCUGGGGGGUUAAUUGUGUUAAUACUGACAGAGCACUUGGGACAGUGAGCUGGGGAGGGCAUCCCUGGCCGCUGACCUUCUAAUCAGAUUGUCAGGCUGAGGACCGGGGGCCUUCUGUAACUGGUGAGUGCUGGAGGUGUCGGCAGGGAGCCGCGUUUCAGUGCAUGGCACCCUCACCCAUACCGCCUUCCUCGCUUGGCUCGGGUCCAAAACCUGGGUGUGGCCUCUGAUCCCUCCCUCCGUCCCUCCCUGAGUAUCUCUUGGGCCCACCCACUUCCCUGUCCCCGCCACCACCUCCCUGGUCUGAGCCACCUUCGUCUCUUGCUUGGACCUUUGCGCGGCCCUCUGACUGGUCUCCGCUGACAUUUUGGCCCAUCUCGGAUCUGCUCGUCACGGUGCAAUUAGGAGUCUCUUUCCAAGAUGCAGGUGUAAUUAUGUGUAAACUAGUACCUGAUUCCUGCAUCCACCCUACCCCCACCCCUCAACCCUCAGCUGAAAUCAAAUAAAACCUCUCCCAUUGUUCUCAGGAGACACCGUCCUAACAUCCUAUGGGACCCCAUGCCCCUGCGGUAAUGCUGACCUCUGGCACCCCUCUCUUCUCCUCCUGCACCAGCCCCAGUGGCCAUUUUCCAGUGGCUUGAGCAGGCCUUCGUCCCUGACCCCUCUGCUUGGGUGGCACCACCCUCCCGACCAUCCCGGACCCCACACACGUGCGUUGGGUACCGUCCAUCUCGGUUUGCACCUGUUGUUCUGAUGUAUUUAUUAACAGCGCCUACCUUUAUUUACGAGUGCCCCAGUUUGGAUGAUAAACUUAGUGGUCCCCCUUUCACAUUUACAAUCUCUUCAUCUAAUUAAAAUUCCUCAGCUUUAAAAAUUCACUGACUUCCUCAAGGUAGUGGUCGGACAUACACCCUGGACCAGGUUAGGGACCCGUUUUAGCCUCAUGCCUUCAGAACUUUUCCUGUAUGCAGUGAAGCUCGGCUUGCAAAUAUAUACUUACUGAUACGAGUUUUUGAUUAACAUUUGUCAUCCUUGUUAGACCACAGGGUCCUUGAUUUAAGGGACUAUGUCUUGGGCUUCCCUGGUGGCGCAGUGGUUAAGAAUCCACCUGCCAAUGCAGGGGACAUGGGUUCGAGCCCUGGUCCGGGAAGAUCCCACAUGCCGCGGAGCAACUAAGCCCGUGCGCCACAACUGCUGAGCCUGUGCUCUAGAGCCCGUGAGCCACAACUACUGAUCCCAUGUGCUACAACUACUGAAGCCUAUGUGCCUGGAACCCGUGCCCCACAGCAAGAGAAGCCACCGCAGUGAGAAGCCUGCGCACCACAAUGAAGAGUAGCCCCUGCUCACCUCAACUAGAGAAAGCCCACACGCAGCGGCAAAGACCCAACACAGCCAAAAAAAGAAUAAAUAAAAUAAAUUUUAAAAAAAUUAAUAAAUAAGGGACUGUGUCUUUACUUGCCCAAAAUGUGAUCCCAGUUCCUGACACAGUCAGUGCUCAUCAGUGAGUGAAUGAACGAAUGAAUGAAUUUACCUUCUCCUGCUUACUGGCAGGGGGAGCCUGGAGCCUGCGUGGGUCAGGAGCAUGGGCAGUGGCCUGCCUUGAGGGAAGCUGCUGCCAUCGGGCCAAUCCAAGCCCAAACAAGCCGGUUGCCCACGCCCUGGCAUACACACCCCCUCACUUGGCUGCCCCUAUAAUUAUUCAUGACCUCUCUCAACGGGCUUUGUGUUUGGAAAGCCAAAAGAGACAGGAGUUCAAACCCUCUUUCCACCUCCCCAAAACUGAGACUUAGGAGAAAGAGUUGCCGGGCCCAUUCUGAAUCUCUAGGGAGCCACAAGGUCCAGGACCUUCUCGCAUGGCUGGAUGUGAGUGCUGGCAUGAUUCUCACCCAGUGUCCUGGGCUGCCCUCCCCGGUCCAGGCCCAGGGACUGCUUGGGGACAGCUAGCCGCACACAUCCCCAUGUGGUUCUCGGCAGACCUGGGACUGGUGCUGGCCGAUUCCUCAUUAUUCUCCAGCCUGAGCAAAGGUGGAAGGCUUACCUGGAAGAGCCGCAGCCCCCAGCAUAGUGGAAAGGGCCCACACAUUGGCAUCCUGUGGACCCCAGUUCAGAUCUCAGCUCUGCCUCUCACUAGCUGUGUGGCUAGGAAGGUUGCUUCCUCUAACCCUCGCUUUCCUCCCCUAACGCAGGAUUGUUGAGUGGAUUUGCUGAGAUGGUGCAUGCCUCACCCAGUGGAACUAACAGCCCACGUCUUUGAGCAACUCCAAGAUCUUAUUCCUUCUCUCUUCCCCUCCCCUUGGGGCUCCCAGAGGUCCACUUUGCCUUCCGUGUCCCCAUCUUGGAGUUGAGGGCUUAACACGGUACCUUCCUCUGGAACAAGGUUAGGGGGAGGCUGCGGUGCCCUUGGGCAGCCAGUGUUCUCUGCGGCCCCCUCUCCCACUCACUGCACACUUUCUGAGUUUAAGCCCGGUGCUGGGAGACAGAACGGGUGUGGAUCUCCAAGCUCCCAGGAGACUGUGAACACACCCACAGACAGGAGCCCCGUGUCCCACCCCAUCCCAGCAGUUAGUUGGCCAGAUCUGCCUACAGCUGCACUUCUUCCCAUCCUUCUGGAAAUGAGGAAGUUUCCAUAGACAUGUUUCUAUUCCUUAGCCUCUGCUCCCUGCUCCUGAUUCCCCUGGUGCCCUGUCCCUUGAGCCGGGCUGGCCGUGCUGAGGUGUUGGUCAGCCACCUGGCCAGCAGGCCCGCUGCGCUGGGCUGCCGACGCCCCAGGUCGCUGAUGGGUCUUAGUGGAGGCUGGGAGUGCAGGGACGGUGUUGGGCCACGUCCGCCUGGGCCUGGGUGGGGAUCUUCAUGGCCCACAGGUUGCCUGUGAUUUCUUCAGAAAAGGGUUUUGGGGUUUCUGUGCCGCUUUAUAAUGUGCUGAUCUGUGUCUGUAUUUGGGGAGAAGAAACUUUAUUUUCCUGGACCUCAGGUGAAGAGAAUUGGCUUAAUGAGGCCCCUCAGCUCAUGGCCCACUUGUGGGUCCACCCACGUGAGGCCACUGUGCGUCCAUCACGUUUCACCCCGCAGUCUCGCUACGAUGGGCACGUAGGGGGUCCCCAACCCCUUCCCUGCCAACACAGCUAACGGAACGAUGAACAUUCUCCCAUGGACCCCCGGGUUCACCAUGUGAGGAUUUCUUUGAGAGGAGAUUUCCCGGGUGGCUUGUUGGGCAGGUACGUGAUGAAUUUCCUGAUGUAGUGCUGGCUUGCUCUCCAGCAUGACUGCACAGCCCACACUUCCAGUCAGGCAUGAGGGCUGCUGGAUUCCUCAGCCACAGCGACAUUUGGGGUAAUCACCUCUCUAAUUGUUUACCAGUCUCUUAGGCGUAAAGGACAAAUUAUUGUUUUUUUUUGUUUUUGUUUUUUGCGGUACGCAGGCCUCUCACUGUUGUGGCCUCUCCCGUUGCAGAGCACAGGCUCCGGACGCGCAGGCUCAGCGGCCGUGGCUCAUGGGCCCAGCCACUCCACGGCAUGUGGGAUCUUCCCGGACCGGGGCAUGAACGCGUGUCCCCUGCAUCGGCAGACGGACUCUCAACCACUGCGCCACCAGGGAAGCCCCAAAUUAUUGUUUUAUAUGCAACUAAGGAGGAACUCUUAAAGUGCCCAGCCUCUCUGUUCCCUUCCUCCGUUCAGAGUUCCUGGAAGCAGAAACUUCCUCUUAGGCAUGGGGUGCUUGCUGUCAUGGCUGAGAGUCAUGGAGGUUCUCUGCAGAAAGCCCCCCACUCCCCAGGGAGUGGCGGUUUAGAGGGAGUCUGUUAAUGCCCCAACCUCCCCACCCCCACCCAGAGUGCACAUCACUCGUGGGAUUCCUUGCGCCUGGUGAUGCUUACACAGCUGCUGGGUUCUGAGGUUGUGCCCCCUGCCGCCUGCUUUCUGCUUCCGCUCUGGCAUCCUGAAGGCUCUGCGUUCUCUGGAGCUUUGACCUUUCCCUUGGGAGGCUGCGAGUCUGCCUGCAUUCCGGUGUGAGGUCAUGUGGUGGUCCCUCGGGAGGGAGGUGGAUGACAUCAUAGCACUGGCAUGGGGUCUGGGCUGAGGUCGUCUUACUGAGCUUAUGUCCUUGCUUGGGUCAAGGAGCCUAGGGCCAGGGAAUGCUGGAGCACAGUGCCGGCUGGUGCAUGCUGGCCCAGACUCAAGCACACACUGGGGAUGAAGGCGACCUCUGUAACCCCAGGAUGGUGCCAGGUGACCACUUAGUACACAUGGGCAAUUCCAUGGGCCCCGAGUAGUUCUCUCUCACUCCUUUCUGUGAACAUCCUUUUUCAUUUCUUUCUUGUAUUUUAAUAAUGAACUCUAGAUAUUAUUAACAACUUACCAUCUGCUUGGCUUUUUGCAAAUGUUAGCUCAUUGAAACCCCUUAAUACCCCAGUGAGAAAGGUAUUAACCCCUUUUACAGAUGAGAAGACUGAGGUUCAGAAAGGUCAAGAACUUGCUCAGGUCCCAGUGUUACUAAGUGGCAGACCCAGAUCACAUCCAAGUCAUCUGCGCCUAAUCCCAUCCUCGUAACCGUCAAGCCCGUGGUCCUCAGUGGGAUCUCUGGACCAGCAGCAUCUGUACCACCUGGAUUCUUGUGGGAAAUGCAAUUUCUCUGCCUGUCCAGAACUAUGGAAUCAGAAAUCCGGGGGGAUUCAUAAAUCAGUUUUAACGAGCCCUCCAGGUGAUUUUGAUGCACCUUCAAGUCUGAGAACUACCACAUGGAGCUAUUCUGCUCUCCUUUUUCUCCUUUAUUUUUUCUGCCCUGCGCUUGUGUCAUUGGGCCAGUCCGUGUAAGCACAGACUUUGGGCCUUGGCUUCUCUUCAUGGGUUUCAUGCCCACUCUGAGAGGUACAGUGUCUGUCCCUACUGGGUCUGGGGCCUCCAGGAACCCCUCCCAAGUCCCUGAAAGCAUUUGAUAGAGCUGAUAUCUCCGCUGCCUCCAGCUGCAAGCCUGGCGACAGUGGCCACCACGGGGGUCAGAGUUCCCAGCACUGUGCCAGAGGAGAUGCCUCGAGAGGGCAGGGGUCCCAGCAGUGGACUGUGGGACGGGCCAGAACAGAAGCUCCAGUCCAGCAGGUUAUUCAGGGACACAGAGAAGAGACCUGGAAAUAUUCUUUAUCCAAGCAGUGUCUCUUUCCUUCUUGCAAAUUUGCAAUAAUGGUUUGGCCUCUGGAGAGGCCACAUGGGGGGCUUGGAGCCUUGUUCCCAGUCAGCAAAUCACGCUCAGUAGAAAUGACCCUGGCAGGAGGAGGGGUGCUAGCUGCACUCGAUUUAACUUCUUGAGCCCCCACUGUCAGUCAGGUAUCGUGCUAUUUGAUUCUUACCAUAACCCGGGGGGGGGGGGCAGAUUGAUUAUUCCCAUUUCGCAGAUGAGACCAUCGAGGCUUCAGGCUGUGAAGUUGAGGGUCACAGCUCAACCAUACAGAGGAGUCAGGUUAGAUGCUCAAGGCAGCCAGACCACAGCUCCCCAUAUGUUAUGAAUACCAGGCUGGGCCAGAUUCUUGUCAUGCGGGGAAGUUCUCUGUGGGGUUGAGUGGCCCACGGCUCUCAGCAUCGUGCCAGAGAAACCAGAUGACCUCACAUGUGAAUGACUUUUCCUUCUUUGGGGAAGGAAUGUGUGGGCCAUUCCUGUGAGCUGCAGCCCACAAGACCUCUGUGCUGUCAGACCCACAAGGGCCAGGAUCCGACUCCAGACAUGGGGGAGGUGUCAGAGGCAGGCCCAACUGGCCUCCGUAAGUAGUGUCAAGUGUGCCUAGGAGGAGCCAACAGGCCUUUGAUGGUUAAGCAGAUGUCCUGGGGCGGGACCUGCUCUUCAGAGUAACCACUCCCUGGGGAGGCAUCGACAAGGCCAGUGGCACCUGAAGCCCACACAGUGCAGGCCUGGCUCGAGUGCUACAUAUGCCCGAAGAUGAGACCAGACCUCCCACCUUGGAAUCUUAGUCUCAGUUACCUCAGUACCUGGAGAGAGCGAGGGUCUGGGGCCUGCCUUUGAGCCUGGUUUCUUGCCAGUGGGCCAAAUGGAUAAACAAAACAAAACAAAAACCCCUUGAUAAAAGACUUAGUGGGGUUCUGGAAUAUUUCAGUUUUUUUUUUUUAAUAAUAGCUUUAUUGAGAUAUAAUUCACGUACUGUACAAUUCACCCAUUUAAAGUGUACAAUGUAAAGUUUUUAGCAUAGUCACAGACGUGUGCGGCCAUUACCGCAGUCAAUUUUAGAUCAUUUUCAUCACUUCUAAAAGAAACCCCAUCCCCCUUAGCUAUCACGCCCCCGCCAGCCCUAAGCUACCACUACUCUAUUUCUGCCUCUGUAGAUACAUGUUUGGGUUUUAACAUCCAGUGAGCACUUAGUCUGCAUGUGGCACUGGGCUAAGCCUUCUGUUUUAGCUCACACAACCCUCCCUCAGGAUAGCCGCACGGGGUAGACACUCUUUUCUGUCUUUGUCUUACUGAUGUGGAGACUGAGGCUCAGCGAGUCCAGGAUCCCAAAGUCCAUAGCGACAGAGCCGGCCGCGGGCUGGACCAUGGCUGUGGCUCUUCGGUCCCCAGGAGAGGCCAGGCUGUGGAUGGUGGCAGACUGGCGGGGGCAGCUGAUGCUCCUUGGCCAGGAGCUGAGAGGACAGUCCUUGUUUCUUCACUGGAGUCUGGCGCCACCUGACUUUUAAAACAGCCCUGAAUUCUCUCAGGAGCUCCAGGUUCUGCCUGCACCUGCGGGAAGGCACUGGGGUGCUUCCCAAGGGCCUUGGUGAGAAGGGGUGCCUGGGCCUCGCGGAGGGGCUGGCAGCUCUCCUCUCUCCCACUAGGGUGUGGUCAUUAGGUCAAAUCACCUCCUAGAAUGAGCCGUUUGGCCACCUGUGCUUUGGCCUUGUGGCCUUGGUGACCCUCCGGGCAUCUGGUGCUGUGUCUCCUGAAAUGGGCUGCAGGUGGACAUGAACCGGAAACACAGGCCCCUGUUCCUCCCACUCCUGUUCUCACCCUGGCCAGGGGCUGGUCUCAGGGUUUCCUCAUCAGUCAGUAGGAGAGAAAUAACAGACCUCUUUCUUCCCACCUGUAGAGCUCUGGGAAUGAUUAACUUUGAAUAGAAAGGGAAUAGGAAGUGAGAGCAGUAGGACAGAGAACAGUUAUGAGGCUCCUGCCCUUUUCUGACGGCUGGCUAUUUUGCUUCCAUCACCCUCAUUCUGACAACAACCCCACAAACUUGUGAUAUUAUGUAUCCCCAUUUGUCAGAUGAAGUAAUUGAGGCCUAGACAGGUUCAUGAAAGCCACACAGCCACUGAGUGACAAAGGCCGGCUGGAUUAACGUUUUUUAAGCAUCUGUUGUGAACAGAGCACCAGCCCGUCUCUAAGUACAUGAGAUCUGAUUUGGUCCUCUUCAAUGCUGUGCCGUCAUAGGUCUUGUUAUCCCCAUUUUACAGAUGGGCAUCCUGAGGCUGAGAUUGAGAAUCCUGUACAAAGAGACAGAGCUAACGAGAGGUGUAGGCCGGGGGCCCAGCUCUUAACAGUUACAAAGUCCAGCUCUUUUGGGAGCCUCCAGCCACCUGCCUCUGAGUUUCCAGGGCCCCAACAUUCGCAUGGUUUUGGGGGCCAGCGGUUAGAGAGGUGCCCUUUCAGAGCAGAGGAAACCGCCUGGUGGUUCAGCACCACUCCCAGGGGUGGAAAGUAAACAGAUCUGGGUGGAGAUGUUCUUCAGGACUCUGCUUUUCAUCUGUGAGUGAACCAGCUGACUGCUUGCUUUGAAAGGCUGGCAGCCAGCCCUUGAUAAGUUAACCAGAUACUUCUAUUUACGUUACCGGAACACUGGGCAUCUGAGAUCACUGCUGGCAGGCCUUUGCUUAGACAAACCACCCAGUGCCCACGCCCUGGCCAGGCUGGCCACGUGCGGGGGUCAGAGGGACUCCACGGUGGCCUGAGGGAGAGAGAGUGCUCCCUGGCUGGUCCACAGUGACCUCCCCCGGGCCAGCAAAUGCUGCAGAGACCUUGGCCCUGAGCUCUCAAGGGGCCCUGGCCUGACGCUUGCGCAUGGUGGCCAAGAGUGGCAGAGGAGGGUGGGCUGUGACUGACAGCCAUGGCAGGGCGCCUGCCCAGAAGGGUGUGGAGAUCGCAGGGCCGCUGAACUGAUUUCUCAGUUGAUGAGCCUAGACCAGGACCAGGGUCCUGGUUGCUGUACUCCAGGGAGGGGAAGUCAUCCGAUGAGAAGCCAGCUUGUACAGGAAGCCCUGUACCACCUUCAAGAGGCUUAGAAACUUGCUUGGGUUUUUCUGGGCCACUGGGCCAGGGGGUACUGCCCUUCAUCUCCCCCCGCAGUUAGCAGUUUGCUGUCUGUUGGGGUGGACAUGUGGGUGUAAUUGCUGCUUUAUCUUCAUGUCCUGGUCCCUAAUUAUGACUUUGCUUAUAAUAGUUUACACUGAUAAGGCACUUCAAAGUUUUUCACAACCCUUUCUCUAUAUGAUAUAUUCUUCUAUUACUAAUUCUUUUAAAUAGAUGGAAGAAUUUUUCCUUUUUCAUCUCUUCCUAUUCUUUUAAAAUUUGAAAACAUUUGUUUUUUCCCCCCCGAGAAUUCAUGGGCCCUGACCCCCCAAUCCCAAGUAAUCCCAGAGAAAUGGGAAGUUCCCUCUAUCUCAUCCAGAGGUCUGACUCAGCAGAUAAACAUAUACACAGACUUUUCUUAGAUUUGCAUGGCUUUUUGUUUGUUUGUUUUAACAGAUAAUGACUGCACAUGGUAUAAAAUUCCAAGGAAACAGAAGGGUAUUCUGUGACAAGAAAACGCCCCACCCUCCCCUGUCAGGAGCCUCCUAGAUCCCCUCCCUGGAGGCAGCCACCGUGCCAAGUCCUGUGUGUCCUUCCAGGGAUAUGCUGGCAUAAAGCUUUUAUGGACUGUCCAGCAAACUAAUAACAGGUGUCUUUUGGUGAGGGGCAGGCGGUCUUGAGACCGAAACCCUGAUCAUGCGUUGAGCCGUUGAGGUGAAACUGCCCCUGUGGGAUUUAUUGGCCUCUGACAAGGAGCAGAGCCCAUCCAUCGCAAUCAGCCCUACAUGGGAGCUGAAGAUUGACCCUGGGUGCUCUACUUGGCCGUGUCUUUUACUUUUGCACGUUAUGAUGGGACGAGUUGCUGGGCUCUGACCUGCAGGGUCCGGGCCUCAUUUGGGGUUACACAGCUGGAAGGGGUUGAGCUGAUACAUACGAGGUCACACGCAUGCCUGGCUGAGCCAGGGCAGAGCCCAGGUUUCCUGACCCCUGUGCUCUGAACAGUAACUCCCCUGGAGUGAACCGGGGCUGGUGUCGAGUGUCAGGAUCCCAGGGGAGCAGGAGGAUGUGCCUGGGAGAGGUGUGGUCGGCCCGCGAGCCUGGGGCCUGGUGGCCAGCGAGGUGGCAGUGCUGUUCCCUCCACCCGCUGAGCCGGCCUCAUUUUGGCUGCAGGUGGGUUGUCUUGUUUACUCAGGACCAAUGGAGAGGUCAGCCAGGUGCGGAUGGCCUGGAUUGUGCGCUGAGGGGAGUACGCGUCACCGAGGAGUGCUAGCAGGGAGAAGGGCAGGGAGGAGAUGGGGAUUGCCAAUCACAUUUGCAGCCGGCUGGGCAAGGAAAGAAAGUCAUUGCAAUUCAGUUACAGGAGCACAGGCACUGCUUGCGUCAGGAUGGGUUUUGUUUCCAUCGUUUUCUCUCGUUCCUGUGAUCGCUCACAUGGUUUUAAGCCUGUGGUACAUACAGUUUUGUAUCCUGCGUUCUUGGUAAUUACAUAUCAGCCUUUUCCCAUAAUAAUAUAUAGUUUCAGAACCCAUCAUUUUGGCCGUCUAGUGUUCCAUUAAGUGGAUGAAUCAUAAUUUAUUUAACUAAUUCUUUAUUAAUAGAAUUUGGGGCUAUUUCUAAUUGUUUCCUCUCCAGUAAUGCUGGCGAGGAUGUCUUUGUGCCCAUGACCCUUCUCUUUCUUGAGCGAUAUUUACCCAGGAUAGUGUCCCAGCAUUGGGCUAAAGGUUAUGCCCGUUUUAGCUCCCCUCGGCGAGUUGCCUUCCACUGGAGUUGUACCGAACCAGCCAGCCUGCUGUGACGUGUUGCGGCUUGGCCACUGUACCCACCCUUUGAUGGGAAUUAGCAGAAACUUAUUUUUGCAGAUGUAAUAAAUGAAAAUUGGUACCUUCGUUUGAACUCACAAAACAUGGUGGUGUGUGUGCACGUGUGUGUGUGUAUGGGGGGGGACGCACAUCUGGUUGCCGUCCCUGGUGACAGGUGUGGGUCCUUGAUCAGCCCAAGCAAGGAGAGCUCCUGUGGCCCCUCACGGAACAUUCUCUCAGUUUUUGCUAGCAGAUUCCCCGAUGGCAGACGCCGGUGGUGGUCUGCGAGGAGUGUGAACCGUGCUGGGCACAGCUGUCUGCUCACGUUAACACACCAUUCGUUCCUGUGUGGUGACUCUUUUGUUAGGAGACUUAGAAAGUUUUCACGUGUUCCCACUGUGGAACCAGAGACCCUGUCAGUCUUAAUUCAGAUUUAUCCUGCCCCUAUCUUUUGAGGGGCUGUGGGAUGUCUUAUUUUUAAGUUGGACCAGCAUUUACAAAUGAGAAGACUCACAUGAAAGUCCAGAUUUCUGGCUCCCCUUCAUUGGAGGUCUGGCACCUGAGGACGCACGUUCCCAUAUGAGCCAAGGAGAGACGCCUUCUGUCCCCUCACCACACCUGCCCUGAUACCGAGAUUGUGUCCUAACUGCCAUUAUCACCGUGUAUGCUCGGGACCAGUUCUCUGUGCCCAUGUUGCUCUCCUGAGUGGAAACCCAAAGGAUAAGCCCGAGAGGGCCACUGUUUCAAGAGAAAUCCAUGAGCGCACAUGGAUGCAAGGGCGCUCGCCAGUCCCACUUUCCGUACACUUUCCCCUUUGGCCUUUUAUUAAACCUCUUGUGGCUUAGUUUUCUCAUCUGUAAAAUGGGGAAAAUAAUAGCACCUGCCUUGUAAUGUUGUUUUGAAGAUGGAGUUACGGGGGGUAAAGCACUCAGAAGAGGGUCUAGCAAGAGCAACUGCUGUUAUUAUUAUGAUUAUUAUUAAUGGCAUGUGUGCUUGUCUUCUCCAGACUAGAUUCUCAACCAGGGGUGAUUUUUGGUUGUCACAACUUGAGGUGGAGGAUGUUACCUGCAUUUAGUGGGUAGGGUCCAGGAAUGCUGCUAACCAUCCUAUCUGUGAUGCAUAAGAUAGGCCCCAAACCCUUAACAAAGAAGUAACUAACCCAAAGUAUCAAUGGUAUUGAGGUUGAGAAACCCUGCUCGGACAUUUGAGUGUGUGACUCUUGGUCUAACUGAACUCUUCAAACACAUCUCUAACCCAGCUUUUCAAGGGCUACCUUGGGCUCUCGAAGAAUCAGCAUUAUAACUUAGCUCAGCCCCCAGGGGGAGCUUGAAUCCUCUCCCAGCACCCUCACCAAACACAUGCCUUUGGUGGGUAAUGCACUGUAUACCCAGUGUUUGGUCUGUUCUUUAUUACAUUGAACUCUAGUCUUCCCUGCAGCUUCCUAUCCUUGAUCCUAAUAAUAGUAGCUACCAUUUAUUGAGCCUUAUGUGUGGGUGAUUGUACUUAGCACUUGCCAUGUGUUGCUGCGCUGAUCCACACCACCCUUCGAGGCAGGUUCUAUUAUUAUACCCAUUUUACAGAUGUGGAGAUUGAGGGUUGGAGAAGUGACAUCACUUGCCCAAGUUUACUCAGGGCCAGAGAUGGGAUUAGAUCCAGGUGAGUCUUGCUCUAGAAUCCACGUUCCUCACCAUUACUGCCUGCCUUGUUCUGCCUGGGGCUUCACUCAACAAGUUUAUUCGCUCGUCCAUGGGAGGAUCUUUCAAAUAUUUAGGAUGAGUCCCUGAGUCCACUCUUCUCUCUUCCUGGUCAAAGAGCCCCAGUUCCCAGAAUUCUCCUCAAAGACAUGUUUCUGAUCUGCUUACCAUCCAGAACGAUCUCCCACCUCUGGACAACCAGCUACCUGCCUUGGGGCUAUGCUCCCUUUGCCUCUCUCCAUCACGCUGCCCCCAGAGAAGCUGCCCAUCCCAUGCCCAUCCCAUGCCAGUUGAUGGUCCAUCAACUCAAGGCUCUCUGUGCCAGUGCUGACCGGAGUCACCGAGGUUCCCUCUGGGUGGUGUUUUCACUUCACAGUGACCUGUUUUUCAGCGACAUGCCACAAGAUUCAGCCCACCUGUCUGCCCUUGGUUCUGCUGUUCCCUUCCAGCACCCCACGCACACCUGCACCUGAAAUCCACGUCAUCCUGGUGGAGCAGAAAAGUAUAUGGGACUGGGAGUAAGGAGGCCAGGUUGUGAACAUACCCAGCUGUGUGGCCUGGGAAAAGUCACUCACCCUCUCUGGUCCAUGUGUCCUCAGUUGUAAAGUGAGGGUUUUGGCUCACUGAGGGUUUUGGCUCAGGUGUGCCAAGCAUCUCUUCCAGCUCUAACAUUCUUUGAUGACAUGUGUUGGACAGCAUGAACUUGUAAUAUCUCUAA